rnacentral:tRNA from 2 species
AUCCGUCGAUUUUAGAAAUCGUGAGGGUUCAAGUCCC